ACUUAAGAUUUUAAAUAUUAGGCCUUAGGAGUCUAGUAAGGCUUCGCCCUUAAGUU
rnacentral:tRNA from 1 species